GGUGAUCAACUGCCCUGGUUUGCCUGGGACUAAGGGGUUUCCCCAGAAUGCCAGACUGUCAGGGUUAAAAC
rnacentral:miRNA from 1 species